GCGGCGGUGCUGGAACUGGUCUACAGGGCACCCUCAAAAGGUGCUGUCCGUAAGGGCUUGUGGGUUCGAAUCCCACCCGCCGCA
rnacentral:tRNA from 1 species